GUAGGGAAUAUUGGUCAAUGGACGAAAGUCUGAACCAGCCAUUCCGCGUGCAGGAAGAAGAUUCUAUGGAUUGUAAACUGCUUUUAGCAGAGAAGAAACGCCUUCAUUGAUGAGGGUUUGACGGUAUCUGCGGAAUAAGCACCGGCUAACUCCGUGCCAGCAGCCGCGGUAAUACGGGGGGUGCAAGCGUUAUCCGGAAUCACUGGGUUUAAAGGGUGCGUAGGCGGGAAAUUAAGUCAGUGGUGAAAGUCUGUUGCUUAACGAUAGAAUUGCCUUUGAUACUGAUUUUCUUGAAUUGGGUUGAGGUUAGCGGAAUGUGACAUGUAGCGGUGAAAUGCAUAGAUAUGUCAUGGAACACCAAUUGCGAAGGCAGCUAGCUGGGCCUUGAUUGACGCUGAGGCACGAAAGCGUGGGUAGCGAACAGGAUUAGAAACCCGGGUAGUCC
rnacentral:rRNA from 1 species